AACGAACGCUGGCGGCAUGCCUAACACAUGCAAGUCGAACGAGACCUUCGGGUCUAGUGGCGCACGGGUGCGUAACGCGUGGGAACCUGCCUUUAGGUUCGGAAUAACUCAGAGAAAUUUGAGCUAAUACCGGAUAAUGUCUUCGGACCAAAGAUUUAUCGCCUUUAGAUGGGCCCGCGUUGGAUUAGCUAGUUGGUGGGGUAAAGGCCUACCAAGGCGACGAUCCAUAGCUGGUCUGAGAGGAUGAUCAGCCACACUGGGACUGAGACACGGCCCAGACUCCUACGGGAGGCAGCAGUGGGGAAUAUUGGACAAUGGGCGAAAGCCUGAUCCAGCAAUGCCGCGUGAGUGAUGAAGGCCUUAGGGUUGUAAAGCUCUUUACCCGUAGAUGAUAAUGACAGUAUCGGGAGAAUAAGCUCCGGCUAACUCCGUGCCAGCAGCCGCGGUAAU
rnacentral:rRNA from 1 species